GCGUGCACCUUGGCGCGGAUGCUCUCGAUGAGCUGCAGCGCCCGUGGCUGUAGAGAAGCAUUGGGACCAAAGGCCUUCUCGCCGUCCAGAAGGAUGGACGCGUCGCACCCCUAUAGUUUUAUAUAUAUAUAUAUAUAUAUAUAUAUAUAUAUAUAUAUAUAUAUCGUUACAUAUAUAGUACUGUACAUGCAUGAUACAUGCAUACAGAAGAUAUGAGGUACCUGCGGGAGGCAGUCAUGGAAGAAGAUGCGGAGGAGGCCGGCGGUGACUUGGACGUCCUGGCCUCGCUCGGCCUGCACGGCGGCGCGCACGAUGCCC
rnacentral:lncRNA from 1 species